CAGCCGCCGCGGUAAUACGGAGGGAGCUAGCGUUGUUCGGAAUUACUGGGCGUAAAGCGCACGUAGGCGGUUAUUCAAGUCAGAGGUGAAAGCCCGGGGCUCAACCCCGGAACUGCCUUUGAAACUAGAUGACUGGAAUCUUGGAGAGGUCAGUGGAAUUCCGAGUGUAGAGGUGAAAUUCGUAGAUAUUCGGAAGAACACCAGUGGCGAAGGCGACUGACUGGACAAGUAUUGACGCCGAGGUGCGAAAGCAUGGGGAGCAAACAGGAUUAGAUACCCCGGUAGUCCCUGUCUCUUAUAC
rnacentral:rRNA from 1 species